rnacentral:rRNA from 1 species
CCUACGGGGGGCUGCAGUGAGGAAUAUUGGUCAAUGGGCGCGAGCCUGAACCAGCCAAGUAGCGUGCAGGAUGACUGCCCUACGGGUUGUACACUUCUUUUAUAAAGGAAUAAAGUGAGGCACGUGUGCCUUUUUGUAUGUACUUUAUGAAUAAGGAUCGGCUAACUCCGUGCCAGCAGCCGCGGUAAUACGGAGGAUCCGAGCGUUAUUCGGAUUUAUUGGGUUUAAAGGGAGCGGAGAUGGGUUGUUCAGUCCGUUGUGAAAGUUUGAGGCUCAACCGUAAAAUUGCAAUUGAUACUGGCAGCCUUGAGUACAGUUGAGGUAGGCGGAAUUCGUGGUGUAGCGGUGAAAUGCUUAGAUAUCACGAAGAACUCCGAUUGCGAAGGCAGCUUACUAAACUGCCACUGACAUUGAUGCUCGAAAGUGUGGGUAUCAAACAGGAAUAGAUACCCUUGUAGUC